UACGGAGGUCGUCAGCGUUAUCCGGAAUCAUUGGGUUUAAAGGGUCCGUAGGUGGAUAAUUAAGUCAGGGGUGAAAGUUUGCAGCUCAACUGUAAAAUUGCCUUUGAUACUGGUUAUCUUGAAUUAUUGUGAAGUGGUUAGAAUAUGUAGUGUAGCGGUGAAAUGCAUAGAUAUUACAUAGAAUACCAAUUGCGAAGGCA
rnacentral:rRNA from 1 species